AAGUUAUUUAACGCAGUAACUGAUUCUCUAUCCAGUCUCCGUUGAGGAUCCUCCUGAUCGUCGUCGUCGUUGUCGUCGUCGUCAUCGUCAUCGUCGUUGUCGUCGUCGUAGUCAUCGUAGUCAUCGUCGUCUUAGUCGUUUUUUUCUUUCGGCCGAGUUUGGGUGUCGGCUCAUGGAGAAAUAUUUGAACCGAAAUUACCGAGAUUCGAAGUAGCUAAAAAUAUAACGGUCGAAGGAAAGUAUGGAUGGCGCGCGGAAUCGCACGCCUAUACAUAUUUUACAUAUGCCUGCGUGCGCGCCUAAAUGCGCUGGAUUAAAAGUGCUGACCCAGCAACACUUCUCGGACUGGAACUUGGAGGACGUGCAAUUUCCUGAGGAGGAACGUAAAGGGAUAACGAAGUGCGCUUUCCCUCUACGCGGAAUUAUUGGAUCGCCACGCGAACCUCGCAUACGAAUGCGACGUUAAUAUCUUCAUACAAAUACAGAAUAAAUGUGUGCGCGCGUGCACACACGUACGAAGGGGAGGUCAUGACGACGACGACGACGACGACGACGACGACGACGACGACGACGAUGGCGACGACGACGACGACGACGACGACGACGACGAUGGCGACGACGACGAGGGUACCUGUGGCGGCUGCUAUGGGCGUCGAGGACGUUGCACUGAACCGCUUCGCCCCGUGAGAACGACGGGAGCACAGAAAGAACGGUGGAACGAGCGAAUACGUAAAAUUCACGAGACUAUGCUUUUAUCAAGCAAGGUGGAAAAUGCGAUUGCUGGAAAGGAGACGCGACGCUCUCGACGACGUGCCGCUAUUUUGCGUACGCUCGUCACCCAGAGUGGGAAAGAAGGAAGGAUGGAAAGCGGAGGGUGGAAACGCCAAGAGCUUCUACAAUGAAAGGAGUUCCUGCUGUUAAACCAACGAGCUCCUUUCACCGUCCUUUUUAAGAAGGAAACACGCGUGGAAGGAUAAAGAAAAAGAUCUCGCUGCGAGGGACAAAACGAGAAGGACGCGUGGCUCGUCGAGGCGUAGGCGAGCGCACGAGUUACCCUUUUCAACCUUCGACCCAAAGAAUUGCGAGAUGUAACGAGCCUCUUUAUGGUCGAGAGAUUGGAGCAUGAAAAAAAUUCAUCUGCGAGUAAUCCCGAUGCGUCUGAACUCGAUUUCAAGAGAAAAAUGAUAAAAAAAAGAAGAAAAAGAAAAAAGAAAGAAAAAAAAAAGAAAAAAAGAAAAGAAACGAAAAUAAGUCGAUUAUGGAAGAAAAAUAUUUUUUCGAGUAUAUCUCAAAAAAUUUCGAUCUAUAUUUUCGUCGUAUCUAUUAUUUUAAUUUACGUUCUAUAGUUUGUUAAUGAGAAUCUCUGCUUUUUAGGAAUGACAACGUACGCUUCUCUUCAUUGUCAGUCUCCCUUAUAUGUGAACACUUGGUAUAUAUUUCGACGCGACGACGACGACCACGACGACGAUGACCGUGCGCUACUUGGUAUCGCGCUCACACGUAACUGAAUUACCGUCGUUGGUUAAACAAAUCUCUUCUCGGUAAGAGAACUUCCACGAAAACAGUGCUCGACAUUUAUUAUCGGUGACUUCGACCAGCUCCAUAGAAACGACUUGAUAAUGGACAUCAAAUGUACGCAGCAUCCUUGAAGAAUAAUAGAUCAUCGGAGUGGGACUUACCUGAAAUAGAGAAAAAAAAGAAAAAAUCUUAUUAGUCAUCGAGUUCUAAAUCAAACGGGCGGAGAGAGAGAGAGAGAGAGAGAGAGAGACACGUUCGCAUAGUCUAUUCAUCAAAUCUCUUUGUAAUACGCUUUCUAUUUUACAAGUUAAUCCUUUACCUCCUCCCUCUUCACUCCGUCCCGCUAAUACAUAAUACAUAAUACACAUUUAAUAAUUUUCUACUGAACUCGAAUAACUUUGAUUAUGUACAAUACGAAGCUUAUUUCGAAAAGCCAUUAUCGUUAGAACAUUUCGAAACGAGAUAUAUUAAUGAAAAUUUUCUCCCUUCUUGCACCCUGUUGAACGUUGUCUUUCUUUGAUUAUUGUCACGGUACAGAUUAAAGUAUAAUUGUUUGUCACAAUUAUUAUUUCAUUUUUAAUACAUACAUA